rnacentral:rRNA from 1 species
CUACGUGCCAGCAGCCGCGGUAAUACGUAGGUCCCGAGCGUUGUCCGGAUUUAUUGGGCGUAAAGCGAGCGCAGGCGGUUAGAUAAGUCUGAAGUUAAAGGCUGUGGCUUAACCAUAGUACGCUUUGGAAACUGUUUAACUUGAGUGCAAGAGGGGAGAGUGGAAUUCCAUGUGUAGCGGUGAAAUGCGUAGAGAUGUGGAGGAAUACCGAUGGCGAAGGCAGCCUCCUGGGAUAACACUGACGUUCAUGCUCGAAAGCGUGGGUAGCAAACAGGAUUAGAUACCCUGGUAGUCCACGCCCUAAACGAUGUCGAUUAGCUGUUGGGCAACUUGAUUGCUUGGUAGCGUAGCUAACGCGUGAAAUUGACCGCCUGGGGAGUACGGUCGCAAGAUUAAAACUCAAAGGAAUUGACGGGGACCCGCACAAGCGGUGGAUGAUGUGGAUUAAUUCGAUGCAACGCGAAGAACCUUACCUGGUCUUGACAU